rnacentral:rRNA from 1 species
GACGAACGCUGGCGGCGUGCUUAACACAUGCAAGUCGAACGGAAAGGCCCUGCUUUUGUGGGGUGCUCGAGUGGCGAACGGGUGAGUAACACGUGAGUAACCUGCCCUUGACUUUGGGAUAACUUCAGGAAACUGGGGCUAAUACCGGAUAGGAGCUCCUGCUGCAUGGUGGGGGUUGGAAAGUUUCGGCGGUUGGGGAUGGACUCGCGGCUUAUCAGCUUGUUGGUGGGGUAGUGGCUUACCAAGGCUUUGACGGGUAGCCAGCCUGAGAGGGUGACCGGCCACAUUGGGACUGAGAUACGGCCCAGACUCCUACGGGAGGCAGCAGUGGGGAAUAUUGCACAAUGGGCGGAAGCCUGAUGCAGCAACGCCGCGUGCGGGAUGACGGCCUUCGGGCUGUAAACCGCUUUCGCCUGUGACGAAGCGUGAGUGACGGUAAUGGGUAAAGAAGCACCGGCUAACUACGUG